rnacentral:siRNA from 1 species
UGUUUAACAGCCUGCCCACCC